UCGCGGAGACAGACAGCUCCAGCAAGCGGAAGGGAGAAACAGUUCUCAGCCAGGUAGUCUCUAGCAGGCUCUGCAUCACAUGUCCAAGUAAAGAUGAAAAUGGGAAAGGAAAUGAGGAGAGGCAAGGAGGAAGUUAUGACUGAAGGUGGGACUCCACUCUUCCUGGCACAACACAGAGCAACAUGAACACUAGGAUGUAAGAAUGAAAACCAGAAGGCAAGACCUGAACAGUCUCCAGAGAGCUCUCCCCAAACAGAAGUGAUAGAGGUGAAAAUGCCUUUUGGUCACUGUCCUGGUCCACACAAUGAACGUCUUCAUUUCAAGCACUCUACAGAGAAUGUUUACGCUGGAUUUCUUCUGCCUCACUUAUCUCAUCUCUGCUAUUUGCACAUUAAUUUAAGGCAGGCUGAAAGGGAAAUUUUCACUGACCUUCUGUCCUUGCUAUCUUGUUCUCUUCAUUGCCUCAGGGCACGACUGUACAAAACAGAAUGGAAACCACCAAAAGGCCUUUGACCUCACAAAAAAAAAAAUUUCAGUAAGCUUCCAAGAGCUGACAAUAUACAUAUUUUUUGUCUCUCUCCCCUCCACCCCUGACCCCGCUGUCCAGGAUUUGUGUGGGUGCUGCUCUGCUCUGCCCCAGACAGCCUGGCACCCGCUCUGUGCUGACAGAUCCUCAAGCACAGUAGUAACUGCACCACACUUGGGCAACUGCUGCAACCCAGCCACCUUCCCUAGCCUGAGGGCCACCAACCUCACCCCAGGACCAUGCUGCUGAAGAACAACUGAAAUAACAGAGGCUGUAGUAUUAGGGCUUUUCCUCUGGAGCAUAUUUUCGUGUAUAUUUCGUGAAUAUAUGGGUCUCUUACGCAAACACACAAUACUGCUAAGCAUCAUUGUACUAAAAGGCACAUAAAGGGAGAGCCUUCUAUCCACAAAAAAAGCAGCCAAAGACCUCACCUUUUAUUGAAGCUACAGUUUUUUGGGAUCCUAACAUUACUGUAUACCACUAAAGACAUGCCCAAGCAUGUUAAAACCCAACACACAGGAUAUGCUUCAUGGACCCUCCCCAUAUUAUCACCUAUAUGGUUUUAUGAAAGAACUACGAAGUCACAAAGCAUUGCCCAUCCAGCGCCCUUGGCCACUAGCUAGAACAGCAUCAGCUGCACCUUCAGAUACUCACAUGCAGAUUCAACAUUACUACCACCAGAUCCUCUUCUUAAGCAGAGCGCAGAUGGAAAUAUUUCUCUAUGAUUACUCUCCAUUAUUCACCUCCUAUUCUGAAUUUCCACUACUACUUCUAUCAGUUUUGAUACUCUUUGGAUGCUCUUUUUUUCCCAGCUGAAAGAACUACGCAAGGAGGGAACCAUACUUCUACAUUGCGCAUACUCCAAAGUAUAAAAAGAAAGCAACAGAAUUUUCCUUGACUUUCCUUGAAUUUUCCUUUCCUAUGGUAGCUGCAUGCUAUCAUACUAAAGCAUACAAAACCGAAUGAAAAAAGACCCAAGUUCUGUCCUGGACUUGAAUACAUGGGAAUGUUAUUUCCCAGUAGGAAAGGGGUAUGUAUUUGAACGGCUGCUGAACUCCUAUGCUUAUUUCGCAUCACAAACACUUCCAAUCAUUCAGUCUGAAGUUAUCUAAGAUGAUUCAACCACAUCUCUUGGCCUUGCAGUAUGUGCAUUGUUAUUUGAAGAGUGCUGUCAUAAUGAUUAACUCUCCCAAAUUAUCAGUAAAUCGAGGUCUUUGGCACCAGACUUUUGUAAACUGAAAUUUACUCACAGUCCUAGUAAAAGAUUAGUUAAAUAGGCCUUAUUUUAU